rnacentral:misc_RNA from 1 species
AAAUCAGCAAAUCAAAAAGUUUAGAGCAAAAAGUUUAAUUUUUGAGUUAAAUUGAGCUUAGAUUAAAAUUUAUUGGCCAAUUAGGAUAAAAAGUUGAAAAGUGUUAAAUUAAACACCUCCAACAAAAUAGGUGAAAUCGAGCAUUAAGCCUUUUUAAUGAUUAUUAUUAUUAUUAUUAGAUAGAGGAAUUGGAUAUUAGAUCAGAUUAAGUGCUAUGCUUUUCUUUCAUUGAAGUAAACCAAGGUAGCUCUAGCUCUAGUUAGUCUCUACUAACUAGAGGGAGACCCCAUAAGUCCUUUUACGUGCGUGGAAGAUCAGCUUAAUAACUAAAAUAGCCAAAUUCUUAGAAGGAAAUGUUCAAAUUCAUUACAAAAAAGAAUUUUCAGUCAAUGAAUCAACGUAAAUUUAAAAGAAAUUAUAAAUAAUUGAAAAGUAUUGACUCAUUAUGUUAGAGUUAAAAGUCAUAUAUUAAUUAGUGGCAAUAAUAAAGUUAAUGAGUUUUAU